AUUUACAUAAUUUAUACAGAAUAUUGCAUUGAAGCUGCAAAAGAGACAUAAAUUAGUCUGUAAAUA
rnacentral:tRNA from 1 species